rnacentral:rRNA from 1 species
CAGUAGCCGCGGUAAUACAGAGGGUGCAAGCGUUACUCGGAAUUACUGGGCGUAAAGCGUGCGUAGGUGGUGGUUUAAGUCCGUUGUGAAAGCCCUGGGCUCAACCUGGGAAUUGCAGUGGAUACUGGGUCACUAGAGUGUGGUAGAGGAUAGUGGAAUUUCCGGUGUAGCAGUGAAAUGCGUAGAGAUCGGAAGGAACAUCUGUGGCGAAGGCGACUAUCUGGGCCAACACUGACACUGAGGCACGAAAGCGUGGGGAGCAAACAGGAUUAGAUACCCGGGUAGUCCCUGUCUCUUAUAC